GAUGAAGAACGUAGCGAAAUGCGAUAAGUAAUGUGAAUUGCAGAAUUCAGUGAAUCAUCGAAUCUUUGAACGCACAUUGCGCCCGCCAGUAUUCUGGCGGGCAUGCCUGUUCGAGCGUCAUUUCAACCAUCAAGCCCCAGGCUUGUGUUGGGGACCUGCGGCUGCCGCAGGCCCUGAAAACCAGUGGCGGGCUCGCUGUCACACCGGGCGUAGUAGAUUUUAUCUCGCUCAGGGCGUGCUGCGGGUUCCGGCCGUUAAAAAGCCUUUUUUACCCAAGGUUGACCUCGGAUCAGGUAGUAAGACCCGCUGAACUUAAGCAUAUCAAUAAGCGGAGGA
rnacentral:misc_RNA from 1 species